GACUAAUGCACCCGCGGUGUCCUUGUCAAUCUAUUAUAUCCGUGGAAACAUCGUCUUCCUUUUUAUUCUCCGAAAACUGGUCAGCGGCUUCGUUUCCGACGACCGACAAACAGAGUUAAAGGAAAAGGAAGAGAUUGUAUCUCUU
ensembl:ncRNA F46F6.5 ncRNA